GAUGAAGAACGUAGCGAAAUGCGAUAAGUAGUGUGAAUUGCAGAAUUCAGUGAAUCAUCGAAUCUUUGAACACACAUUGCGCCCGCCAGUAUUCUGGCGGGCAUGCCUGUUCGAGCGUCAUUUCAACCAUCAAGCCCCCGGCUUGUGUUGGGGACCUGCGGCUGCCGCAGGCCCUGAAAUGCAGUGGCGGGCUCGCUGUCACUCCGAGCGUAGUAGUUACAUCUCGCUCUGGGCGUGCUGCGGGUUCCGGCCGUUAAAAGCCUUAUUUACCCAAGGUUGACCUCGGAUCAGGUAGGAAGACCCGCUGAACUUAAGCAUAUCAAUAAGCGGAGGA
rnacentral:misc_RNA from 1 species